rnacentral:rRNA from 1 species
AUUGAACGCUGGCGGCAGGCCUAACACAUGCAAGUCGAGCGAGCGGCGGCCGGGUGAGUAAUGUAUGGGGAUCUGCCUGAUGGAGGGGGAUAACUACUGGAAACGGUAGAUAAUACCGCAUACCAUCAGCUGAACCCAUAUUGGUUUAGCUUGUAGGUGAGGGAACGGCUCACCUAGGCGACGAUACCUAGCUGGUCUGAGAGGAUGAUCAGCCACACUGGGACUGAGACACGGCCCAGACUCCUACGGGAGGCAGCAGUGGGGAAUAUGGCACAAUGGGCGCAAGCCUGAUGCAGCCAUGCCGCGUGUAUGAAGAAGGCCUUCGGGUUGUAAAGUACUUUCAGUCGGGAGGCGUUACCGACAGAAGAAGCACCGGCUAACUCCGUGCCAGCAGCCGCGGUAAUAC